rnacentral:rRNA from 1 species
UAAUACAUGCAAGUCGAACGCACUUUCGUUAGAUUGAAGAAGCUUGCUUCUGAUUGAUAACAUUUGAGUGAGUGGCGACGGGUGAGUAACACGUGGGUAACCUGCCCUAAAGUGGGGGAUAACAUUUGGAAACAGAUGCUAAUACCGCAUAAAACCUAGCACCGCAUGGUGCAAGGUUGAAAGAUGGUUUCGGCUAUCACUUUAGGAUGGACCCGCGGUGCAUUAGUUAGUUGGUGAGGUAAAGGCUCACCAAGACCGUGAUGCAUAGCCGACCUGAGAGGGUAAUCGGCCACACUGGGACUGAGACACGGCCCAGACUCCUACGGGAGGCAGCAGUAGGGAAUCUUCCACAAUGGACGAAAGUCUGAUGGAGCAACGCCGCGUGAGUGAAGAAGGUUUUCGGAUCGUAAAACUCUGUUGUUGGAGAAGAACGUAUUUGAUAGUAACUGAUCAGGUAGUGACGGUAUCCAACCAGAAAGCCACGGCUAACUACGUG